rnacentral:rRNA from 1 species
CAGCGAGAGGUGCUUGCACCUUUCAAGCGAGUGGCGAACGGGUGAGUAACACGUGGAUAACCUGCCUCAAGGCUGGGGAUAACAUUUGGAAACAGAUGCUAAUACCGAAUAAAACUUAGUAUCGCAUGAUAUCAAGUUAAAAGGCGCUACGGCGUCACCUAGAGAUGGAUCCGCGGUGCAUUAGUUAGUUGGUGGGGUAAAGGCUUACCAAGACGAUGAUGCAUAGCCGAGUUGAGAGACUGAUCGGCCACAUUGGGACUGAGACACGGCCCAAACUCCUACGGGAGGCUGCAGUAGGGAAUCUUCCACAAUGGGCGCAAGCCUGAUGGAGCAACGCCGCGUGUGUGAUGAAGGCUUUCGGGUCGUAAAGCACUGUUGUAUGGGAAGAAAUGCUAAAAUAGGGAAUGAUUUUAGUUUGACGGUACCAUACCAGAAAGGGACGGCUAAAUACGUGCCAGCAGCCGCGGUAAUACGUAUGUCCCGAGCGUUAUCCGGAUUUAUUGGGCGUAAAGCGAGCGCAGACGGUUGAUUAAGUCUGAUGUGAAAGCCCGGAGCUCAACUCCGGAAUGGCAUUGGAAACUGGUUAACUUGAGUGUUGUAGAGGUAAGUGGAACUCCAUGUGGU